AUCUGAUCAAUUCCGAGUUCAAAUCUGACCUCAUUUUACUAUGACUUUAUAUGUAUAUAUAUAUAGAUAUAAAUAUCUAUUUUUGACAUGGCUGAAGAUAAAUACAUGAAUAGCUUUUCCAAAUGUGCUGCAAUCUUCAUUCUAAAUACAUAUCUUGUGGUUAUGGGAAUUAAAUAGAAACUGUAUCAUGGAAAAAUAGUGAUAGAAAUGCAAAGAAAAGAUCUCCU
rnacentral:lncRNA from 1 species